CUGUCAUUUACUGUAUAUAUGUGCAUAAUUUUUUUUCUCCUUUGGUGACUUCAUUUCAUUUUCCUCUUUCCCCUAAAACCACCACCACCUCCUACCGCCGCACUACCAUCAAACCACCACCACUUCCAGAUCCGAUACCAGCACCUCAUCCUCUUCCUCCUCCUUCAUAUCCACCACCAACAACAACACAUUUGCUGCCACCAACCGGUUACGAUGUUCAGAUCUGACAUCAACACCAUCUCCUCCAUCGCCUCCUCCUCCACCUUCACCACCAGCAACAUCACCUUCUCGAUUAAUAUGCUGACAAAUCUCUUAAAUUCAAGAGUAAGCCCUAAUGAUUCAAGUUAUUAAAUCUUAAUUAACCAAAUCCAUUACAUUUCGGUCAUUGUUAAGUUUUAUUAGAGAUAGUUUUUGAAGACGGGUGAUGAGUUAAAAUAACUCGGAUCUGUAAAACCAAAUGGGAAAGUUGCGGUGGAUUAACAAGAGGUAAUUGCGGUGGUCUGGUUUUUUCUAUAAAAAAUCGUUUUUGUGGUGGCGACGAAAAAUUUAGCAGAAGAUUUUCUAGGGUUUUUGAUUGAUUUUUGUUUAAUCUCUUAAAUCUGUAUCUCAAUUGAAAAUCCGAUGUUGUAAUAGUCUUGAUUUGCAGGUGCUGGUAUUUUGUGCCGGUAUCUUUGAAUUUGGGAAAUCUCAAUUGAAAAAAAUCUGGUGCUGGGUUCUAUGAAUUUUGGAAAUCUUUGGAUUUCAGCAUGGAAAAAAUUCUUUCACCAGAAUAAUGGCGGUGGCGCAGUGGAGAUGGUGGUGGCCGAUGAUGGUGGUGGCGCGGUAAUGGUAAUGGUGGUUGUGGCGGCGAUGGGGGUGGUGCAUAAACAUAGUUGCAAGUGUGCAAGACCUUUUAGGGAUUGGAGAGUACUGCCCUAGUUCGACCAGCUUUCAUCGAUUAUGAAACACUCAAGAGUACAUUUAUGAUGAAACCAAUUUCGGUUUCAUCUAAAUUUGGCGAAACCGGUUUUGGUUUCAUCUAAUCUUGCCUUAAUUUUUUUUGAAAUUUUUCGGUGAAACCAACGUUGUUGGUAAUAAAUAGUGUUUUAUUGAAACAAGUAUUGGUUUCAUCUGCAUUUGAUCAAUAUUUUUUGAGUUUUUAUUGACGAAACUAAACAUAGAUGAAAUCAAAAAUAGUUUUUUGAUGAAACCAGUUUUAAUUCCAUCAAUUAUUUUUUUUAGUAAUAUAGAGAUGGAUUGUUUUUGACGAAAUCAAACACUUUUUUGAUGAAACCAGUUUUGGUUUCAUCAAAUUCUUUUAACGAUACAGAGAUGGAUUGUUUUUCUAAUGAAACCAAACAGUUUUUUUUAUUUUAUGAAACCAGUUUUAGUUUCAUCAAUUUUUAGUCACGAAGGUGAUGGUAUUGGUGGUUAUGGUACUACUAGGGUGGUAAUGGCGGUGGUGGUUUUGUUGACAUCGGUGUUGGUUGGCGUUGGUGGCGGCUAGUGGUGGUUGGAUUUUUUGUAGGCGGAGGUGGUGAUGGUUUUAUGGAUAUUUGGUGGUGGUGGGUGGUGGCGGGUGGUGGCGUUGGUAUGUGUGCUGGUUGGUGGUGUCUGUGGUGGCAACGACGGUGGUAGCGGUGCUGGUCGGCGGUGCUGGUUGGUGGUGGUGGUCGGAGGUGUUGGUUGCUGGUUGGUGGUGGUGGCCGCUGGUGGCGGUGGUUGCGACAACGGUGGUGGUGGCGGUGGUCGGCAACAGUGGUGGCGACGACGGUGGUCGGCGGUGGUGGUGGUGGCAGGCGACGACCGAUAAUGGCGGUGGUGGGCGACGACGGUGGUGGCGACGCGGUGGUCCGCCGGCGACGGAUGGUGGUCGGUGGUGUUGCUAGUUGAUGAUGGUGGGUUGUUGUUGUUUUUGUUGAUAAUAUAAUAAAAAUUAAAAGUGGGUUGAUUUUUGUUUUUGUUAGGGCGAUUUAAACUAGAAGGGUAAUAUAGACAGUUUAUGUUAAAUGGGAUUUUUGUGAACAA